rnacentral:rRNA from 1 species
GUCUACGGCGAUGCCACCCUGAACAAGCCCAAUCUCAUCUGAUCUUGGAAGCUAAGCAUGGUCGGGCCUGCUUAGUACUUGGAUGGGAUCCCACCUACGAAGACCAGGUGCUGUAGGCG